GACGAACGCUGGCGGCGUGCUUAACACAUGCAAGUCGAACGGUGAAAGCGGAGCUUGCUCCGCUGGAUCAGUGGCGAACGGGUGAGUAACACGUGGGCAACCUGCCCCUCACUUCGGGAUAACUCCGGGAAACCGGGGCUAAUUCCGGAUAUGACCUCCUUGGGCAUCCUUGGAGGUGGAAAGUUUUUCGGUGAGGGAUGGGCCCGCGGCCUAUCAGCUUGUUGGUGAGGUAGGGGCUCACCAAGGCGACGACGGGUAGCCGGCCUGAGAGGGCGACCGGCCACACUGGGACUGAGACACGGCCCAGACUCCUACGGGAGGCAGCAGUGGGGAAUAUUGCGCAAUGGGCGAAAGCCUGACGCAGCAACGCCGCGUGCGGGAUGACGGCCUUCAGGUUGUAAACCACUUUCAGCAGGGAAGAAGCCGCAAGGUGACGGUACCUGCAGAAGAAGCACCGGCUAACUACGUGCCAGCAGCCGCGGUAA
rnacentral:rRNA from 1 species